AGAGUUUGAUCAUGGCUCAGGAUGAACGCUGGCGGCGUGCCUAAUACAUGCAAGUCGAACGGUGAGGAGCAAUCCUCAUAGUGGCGAACGGGUGAGUAACGCGUUGGCGACCUGCCUCGAGGCGAGGGAUAACAGACCGAAAGGUUUGCUAAUACCUCAUGUGGUUCGGGUAUUUAGAAAGCCUGAACUAAAGGCGAAAGUCACUUCGAGAGGGGCCUGCGUCCCAUCAGCUAGUAGGUGAGGUAACGGCUCACCUAGGCGAUGACGGGUAGGGGACCUGAGAGGGUGGCCCCCCACAAUGGAACUGAAACACGGUCCAUACACCUACGGGUGGCAGCAGUAGGGGAUAUUGGUAAUCUGCGAAAGCGGGAACCAGCAACGCCGCGUGUGCGAUGAAGGCCUUCGGGUUGUAAAGCACUUUUCACCGGGACGAGGAAGGACGGUACCGGUGGAAUAAGCCUCGGCUAACUACGUGCCAGCAGCCGCGGUAAAACGUAGGAGGCGAGCGUUAUCCGGAUUUACUGGGUGUAAAGCGCAUGCAGGCGGUUCGCUAAGUUGGGUGUGAAAGCUCCUGGCUCAACUGGGAGAGGUCGCUCAAGACUGGCGGACUAGAGCGUGGUAGGGGAAGGCGGAAUUCCGGGUGUAGUGGUGAAAUGCGUAGAUAUCCGGAGGAACACCAGUGGCGAAGGCGGCCUUCUAGACCAUGACUGACGCUCAGAUGCGAAAGCUAGGGUAGCAAACGGGAUUAGAGACCCCGGUAGUCCUAGCCGUAAACGAUGUGAACUUGGCGCCGGAUGGGUAAAACCGAUCGGUGCCGAAGCUAACGCGAUAAGUUCACCACCUGGGGACUACGGCCGCAAGGUUAAAACUUAAAUGAAUUGACGG
rnacentral:rRNA from 1 species